rnacentral:rRNA from 1 species
UACGAAGGGGGCUAGCGUUGUUCGGAAUUACUGGGCGUAAAGCGCACGUAGGCGGAUAUUUAAGUCAGGAGUGAAAUCCCGGGGCUCAACCCCGGAACUGCCUUUGAUACUGGGUAUCUCGAGUCCGAGAGAGGUGAGUGGAAUUCCGAGUGUAGAGGUGAAAUUCGUAGAUAUUCGGAGGAACACCAGUGGCGAAGGCGGCUCACUGGCUCGGUACUGACGCUGAGGUGCGAAAGCGUGGGGAGCAAACAGG